rnacentral:rRNA from 1 species
UACGAAGGGGGCUAGCGUUAUUCGGAAUUACUGGGCGUAAAGCGCACGUAGGCGGCUUUGUAAGUCAGAGGUGAAAGCCUGGAGCUCAACUCCAGAACUGCCUUUGAGACUGCAUCGCUUGAAUCCAGGAGAGGUGAGUGGAAUUCCGAGUGUAGAGGUGAAAUUCGUAGAUAUUCGGAAGAACACCUGCGGCGAAGGCGGGUUGCUGGGCUGACACUGACGCUGAAGCGCGAAAGCUAGGGGAGCGAACGGG